rnacentral:rRNA from 1 species
AUUGAACGCUGGCGGCCUGCCUUACACAUGCAAGUCGAACGGCAGCGCGGGGCAACCUGGCGGCGAGUGGCGAACGGGUGAGUAAUAUAUCGGAACGUGCCCUGGAGUGGGGGAUAACUAGUCGAAAGAUUAGCUAAUACCGCAUACGAUCUAUGGAUGAAAGUGGGGGAUCGCAAGACCUCAUGCUCGUGGAGCGGCCGAUAUCUGAUUAGCUAGUUGGUGGGGUAAAAGCCUACCAAGGCAUCGAUCAGUAGCUGGUCUGAGAGGACGACCAGCCACACUGGGACUGAGACACGGCCCAGACUCCUACGGGAGGCAGCAGUGGGGAAUUUUGGACAAUGGGGGCAACCCUGAUCCAGCAAUGCCGCGUGAGUGAAGAAGGCCUUCGGGUUGUAAACCGCUUUUGGCCGGGAAGAAAAGGCCGAGGCUAAUACCUUCGGUUUUUGACGGUACCGGCAGAAUCAGCACCGGCUAACUACGUGCCAGCCGCCGCAGUAAUAC